ensembl:lncRNA
CCAUGUUUGUAAUUUAAUAAAAAGACAUGACAAUCUGAAAUUCAGUUCUUCUUUGCAGUUACUUUAAGCUCUGUAUUUGUCAAGAUAUCAUCUCUCUAAAAUCUGAUAUACCUUUACAACAGCAUUUAAGAAAACAACUUUUAAACGUGUUACUUCAUAUAAGUCAUAUUUACAGAAUGUACAUGAUCACUCAAUGAAAACACUUUUAACGGCUAACAUCAUGUUACGAUACAUCACUGUACACAGAUCAGAGAUCAGAUGACUGUACAGGAGAGAGAGCGAGGAGAUUCAGUGUCCUUCAACAGUCUGAUUUCAGGAAUCAAUCAUGGUCUGAUUGGCACAGAUGAGCAAAAUAAACUCCAAUGGAAUGAAACGCUGCUGAUCUCCAAACUCAAUGAUCCCUAAAACAUGACUGAUGAUGAGUGUGACUGGGUUUAACACCAGCUGCAGCCAGACGAGAUCAAUAUCAAACCAAUAAAACAACAAAAGUUAAGGCAACCAAUACUUCGAAAUACAGACGGAUGAAUCUCACUGUAAAGAACAGGUCCAGAUAUCAUAGUUCAGCCCGAACAUGACACCAGCUUCUCAGACCACUGAGAUUUUUUGCAUUUUGAUGUGAUUUUUAGCUGCAAAUAUUAUGAAAUGCAAAAAAAUAUUCUGAAAAAAAAAAGUAUAUUUAAAUGUCAAAAUAUUUAUACAUUAUGAAUUUAUAUUAAUGUAUUACAGUAAUGAUAAUCUAAAGAGAAUCACUAUUGAUACUGAAAAACAGAAAACAAAUCAAAAGUAAAUGUCCAGGAAUUAUGGUUUAUUCUCUACACUAUUUUGUGUUACAGAUGGUUUUGCUAGUUUGAGUUAAACCAAUGGUUUUCUAAAAUAAAUAAAAUAGAUUUAAAAAUUGAAAAAAAAAAAGGGUAAUUGCGACUUUUUAACCCAAUUCUGACUUAUUUUCUAACAACUGCAAGUUUAUAUCUAACAAUUCUGAGUGUAUAUCUCACAUAGUUUGACUCAAAUAUUUGUUUCCAUCACAGGAUAAAAAAUAAAAAGGUAGCCUACUUGAAACUUUUAUCUCACAAUUGCGAGUUUAUAACUCAGAAUUCUAUUUGGAAAGAAAAAAACAACAACUCAGAACUGGGAGAUAAAGUCGCAAUUACUUUUUUCUUUUAUUUUUGAUCAUGUGGCAGAAAUGAGUUUCCACAGAAGAGACCUGGUGAUAUCAAUCAUAAUGCAAAAAAAAGCCAAAAUGAUAAUAAAACAGACAUCCCUUUCUUUAUGCAAAAUAUAAUUUCCUAUUUUUUUCUGUUGAUCUGAGUGUGAAGCAUGAUCUGGAGAUGUUGUUGAGACUGAUCCUGAUAGAGGUGCAGACUGACGUCUGUCGGACAGGACCAGACUCCAGACGCCUGAGGUAAGACUGACCUCGAGCUUCCAGACAGAAAAGCUGAGAGAGAGAGAGAGAGAGAGAGAGAGAGAGAGAGAGAGAAACCAGUCCGUAUCCUUCAGAGCAAAACUCCACAUUGACGGACGUCAUCUGUGUAACAACAGUAACUUCACCACACCUGCUCCGGUUCAUCGCUGCAGCGUUUCUGAGGAGUCUGAACACGUGUGUGAGAAACAGAAACGGUCCGGGAAUCACACACACGGGGGAAUGUGGCGAGAGUGUGUUCAGGAACUCUUUUCCACAUGAGUUCAAAGUGACCAGUCCAUCAAGACCCAGCUACAGCAUGAAAGCAGUCACGUGAUGCUGGGACUCUGUAUUCACUCUCAGU